rnacentral:tRNA from 1 species
GGCAAUAUUGCACAGUGGUUAAGAGCAUGGGCUCCGAAGCUCCAGUGUUUGAGUUCAAAUCUCAUCUUUGCCA